CGUGCUUAAUACAUGCAAGUCAACUGAAGCACCGGUAGUAAUACUGGUGUGGAGGUGGCGCACGGGUGAGUAACACGUAGGUAAUCUGCCUUCAGGUCUGACAUAACCCCGAGAAAUCGGGGCUAAUAGCAGAUGAUGCAGCGGCUUGACAUCAAGACAGUUGUUAAAGCUUCGGCGCCUGAAGAUGAGCCUGCGUCUGAUUAGCUAGUUGGCGGAGUAAUAGCCCACCAAGGCGACGAUCAGUAGCUGGUCUGAGAGGAUGAUCAGCCACACUGGAACUGAGACACGGUCCAGACUCCUACGGGAGGCAGCAGUAAGGAAUAUUGCUCAAUGGGAGAAAUCCUGAAGCAGCAACGCCGCGUGAGGGAUGAAGGGCUUUUGCUCGUAAACCUCUGUAGUGAGGGAAAAAUUUCCAUUCUAUGGAAUAUGAUGGUACCUCAAAAGUAAGCCCCGGCUAACUACGUG
rnacentral:rRNA from 1 species